CGGACCAAGGAGUUUAGCGUGUGCGCGAGUCAUUGGGUGGAAAACCUAAAGGCGCAAUGAAAGUGAAGGGGGCCUCUGGCCCCCGAGGGAAGAUGGGCGUCCGUCCUUCGCAGGCGGCGCCCCGCACUCCCGGGGCGUCUCUUUCUCGUUACGAGUGGAGGCGCACCUGUAGCGCACACGCUGAUACCCGAAAGAUGGUGAACUAUGCCUGGCCAGGACGAAGCCAGGGGAAACCCUGGUGGAGGUCCGCAGCGAUUCUGACGUGCAAAUCGAUCGUCGGAGCUGGGUAUAGGGGCGAAAGACCAAUCGAACCAUCUAGUAGCUGGUUCCUUCCGAA
rnacentral:rRNA from 1 species